rnacentral:lncRNA from 1 species
UACAUUAAAGCCCCCGAAAAUAAUAAUUAUUUUCGGUCCAAUGGGCCAACGCCUCUGAUCAUUUUUGAGUUGCAAUUUUUAGAAUCACGGUUGUGGGCGUUUAUUACGAUCAAUGUACGACCUAUUAGACUUUGAAUGAGAAAAGAAGGCUCCUCUGGUAUCUCAACUAUUGAUAGUUUAAAUGCAUAUAUUUCCUUAGAUUGGACGAUUACCCUUUAAAGUACAAAUUUAACAAUUUUGUCGAGCGUACAGUUUCGUAUAGCAGGAGCUCCUCCAGUUUUAAGGCUGAGGUCGAAUCGUCUUUGUUCAGAGUUUUUAUAUCAUUAAGCAUUUUUCUCAUAUAUCUCUAUUUUUCUCUGACUUUUUGAAUUAAGAUCCUGCCUUGCCUGAAAUUCAGUGUGUCUCAGAGUAUUUCAUGGAGACAAAACUCCUCUUUCCAUUCUUAGACCGUAGUCUUGGAUAUAUCUUAUCGUGUAGUUCCAGGUUGAAGGGGGCCGUUUAACUGAUGGUAAAACUGGGUAGUGAUAUGAGAUGUACGGUGGAUUCGUUUAAGAGGCCCCGUCUUUCAAUAAAAAGUCAUUUUUUUAGGGAGGUCAUUGCAUAUGAGACCUGAAUCUUCCCUCCAAAAAUAAUUAUUAUUUUCCGUCCAAUGGGCCAACGCUUUUGGUCAUUUUUGAGUACCAAUUUUUAGUAUCACGGUUGUGGGCGUUUACUACGAUCAAUUUACGACCUAUUAGACUUUGAAUGAGAAAGACAUUAGUCUAUGGGACAAUAUGGAUGAUCUUGUUUUAUCCUGCACUAUUGAAUGGACCAGCGUUAUAAUGUCUGGUAAAAUUAAUGCAUUGAUGUAAUACAAUAGACUGGAGGCCCUACUAGAAGAGGAAAUUGAGCUACAUUACAAGAUGCAAGACUUGCCAUAAUGAUUGUGGAGGUUUUAAUUUUGCGAAAAGCCGGAAAAGAGGCCCUGUUUUUCAAUACGUCAUAUUUUUUUUUUU